rnacentral:rRNA from 1 species
UACGAAGGGGGCUAGCGUUGCUCGGAAUCACUGGGCGUAAAGCGCACGUAGGCGGCUUUUUAAGUCAGAGGUGAAAUCCUGGAGCUCAACUCCAGAACUGCCUUUGAUACUGGAGAGCUUGAGUCCGGGAGAGGUGAGUGGAACUGCGAGUGUAGAGGUGAAAUUCGUAGAUAUUCGCAAGAACACCAGUGGCGAAGGCGGCUCACUGGCCCGGUACUGACGCUGAGGUGCGAAAGCGUGAGGAGCAAACAGG